UCCGCCCACCCAGGGACCCCCCAACCGCACGCAGUGGAGCGCGCGCGCUCUCUCGCGCGCUCUCUCUCGCCCAUAAAGUAACGCAGCGGCAGCCGGCAGGAGGCAGCGACCCCUCCUUCUUUCCGCGCCGCCGCUCUGGCCUCGCCCCUCUCCUCCUCCUCCCUCUCUGUCUGUCUCCGUGUGGUGGCCGUCCCGUGCCAGCUCUCCCAUGAUGGCCGGCCCGUGCCAGCUCAAGUCACCGUCCGUGGAGCUUCGGCUGGCCGGACCUUCCCGGCGACGUGCAGUCGUCGACGACGCGGCUGGCCACCGCCAGAUCUGCAGUCCCGGUGAGCCCCCGUAGCUCCGGUGGCCGGUCAACUCGGAUUCCGGUCGCAAGAUCUCGUCGCCGCCGGCGGAACACGCCGCCGCCCGGCCUCGGUGGAGGAUGAGGAUAGAGUGUCCAGUUAUGUUGGUUUUUGCUUUGAUGGUAUGUGCUGGUCGUCAGGAAUGAUUCACUGUAGCAUGCAGGCAGCAAGCCACACGUGGUCUCAAUUGCAAGUUCAAAUGAAUGUUAAGUUAUCAUAAUAAAAAAUAUGGCCAGAAAAAUAAAUGAUGUUCCCUAUAAACUUUGCAUUGUUUGUCAUUCUAAUUUUUUUCUUCAUAUUUUGGAUUUUUAUAACUCUUAAAGCCUAUGGUCUCUCUCUUACGUGCCUCAUUUGUUAAAUUAGCAUGGUGUAUACCAAAAAAAAAAACUGGUAGAUUUAUAUGCAUUUUCUCUACUUUUUGUAUUUAAUGUUAAUCCUGUUCUAAACCAUCUACUGCAAGUACAUUGCCUCCCUAGUGUAUUCAUGCACAGUGCUCUAUGAAUGCCUUGACAUCAAAUAUCCAAGGCAUCAUCUGGAAGCAUUGUUUAAGACAGUGCUGACAACCAAAGGUGGUGUGAUAAAGGUGUUAAAGUUCCUUUUUUCGAAUGAAUGAGCGAGUUGAGUUGAUAAAUAGAGUACUCGCUUCUUGUAUUAGUUGGGUGCAGAUAACUUAGGGAUUCGAUGAGUGCAAAUGUACAAUAUUGGUUCAUUU